GUCGAGAAUUUUUCACAAUGGGCGAAAGCCUGAUGGAGCGACGCCGCGUGGGGGAUGAAUGGCUUCGGCCCGUAAACCCCUGUCAUUCGCGAUCAACCCCUGCGAUUUAAAAGAUGGCAGGCUGAUAGUAGCGGAAGAGGAAGGGACGGCUAACUCUGUGCCAGCAGCCGCGGUAAUACAGAGGUCCCGAGCGUUGUUCGGAUUCACUGGGCGUAAAGGGUGCGUAGGUGGUGGCGUAAGUCGGAUGUGAAAUCUCGGAGCUCAACUCCGAAACGGCAUUGGAAACUGCGCUGCUAGAGGGUUGGAGGGGGGACUGGAAUUCUCGGUGUAGCAGUGAAAUGCGUAGAUAUCGAGAGGAACACCGGUGGCGAAGGCGAGUCCCUGGACAACACCUGACACUGAGGCACGAAAGCUAGGGGAGCAAACAGGAUUAGAAACCCUGGUAGUCC
rnacentral:rRNA from 1 species